UUAAGUAGUGAUACCAACCACUGACACAAAAUUCGGUAAGCUAUUUACAAGGUUAUAUAUAUGUAUAUAUACACUAUAUGUUGUACAUAUACAUCAAUAUAUCAAUCACAAAUAUAUCAAUAUAUAUGUAUAUUGUUUAAGCUUAUUUGCGAAAAUGCAACUUGUCAAAAUCUAACCUUGAAUUCGGUAAGCUAUUUACAAGAUUAGAUUUUGACAAGUCACAUUUUCGCAAAUAAGCUUAAAAAAUAUACAUAUACAUAUAUUUAAUCACUGAAAUAAUUAAUUUCCAGUUUCAUCCUCAUUAUUACGAUACCUCAUCGCAUAAUAAAAAUGGAUAUAAAAAUAGACCGUAUACGAGCACCAAAUUUUUGUCAAGCUGAAAAACUAGCACUUGUAUCAUUAAUAAAAAAAUACAAAUUGAUAUAAAAUAAGCGGACUGAUGCUGUGAGUGUUAAAGAAAAAGAAGAGGCUUGGCUAAAGAUAUUGGACGAGUAUAAUCAGCAAAGCAACUGUCGCCCUCGCGAAUUAGGAAACAUAAAAAAUUUCUGGAUUAAUGCUAAAAAGUUGUAUGCACCAAGAAGUUGUAUGCAAAAAAUAAAAGGGAAAUAUAUCUCACUGGUGGUGGAUCUUCAAAUAUUGUGAGUGAUGUUGUGGCCGAUGCCGUUUAUGAAAUAAUUGGACCAUCCAUCGAUGGACUGAUCAAUCCGUUUGAUUCUGACAAGCAUAUUUCGAAUUAUGUAGAAACGCCAUCAACUGUAACAAAUCUACUAGAUAAUGAUAUGGAGAAUGAUGAUCCAAAUCAUACAAGUGUUUUCCAGCAUUUAGUAAAAAGUGGAGAAGUGAAAAGUUGGGCGGAAUAUAAUCCUCAAAAAUUGAAAACCAUCAUCAGUUCCCCGCUUUCCAAUGCAAAAGAAGGUGUUCAGGAUAAAUAUAAGCGCCAAAAAAUGGUCGAGUCAACAAAAACUGAAAAUAUUUGUAUCUCAUUAAAAUAAUGUAAGUUUCUACAUAUAAAAUAACAAUAAACAAAAAGAUUGUAUGAUAUUGACAAACCUGGAAAACACUUGUAUGAUUUGGAUCAUCAUUCUCCAUAUCAUUAUCUAGUAGAUUUGUUACAGUUGAUGGCGUUUCUACAUAAUUCGAAAUAUGCUUGUCAGAAUCAAACGGAUUGAUCAGUCCAUCGAUGGAUGGCCCAAUUAUUUCAUAAACGGCAUCGGCCACAACAUCACUCACAAUAUUUGAAGAUCCACCACCUAACAAAUAUAUGAUAAAAAUAAAUUCUUGCUCGUGAUCAAAAGCGCCAAAAUAAUUUAAUGUUAAUUA